rnacentral:misc_RNA from 1 species
UUUGAAAUUAGAAUGUGUACUGUAGUGAGCACAAAAUUCAUACUCUACUGAAAGCAGAUAUUGACAGGUUGAUCAUUUGUUCUUUGCCAGUUUUGUUACUUUUGUUGUGUGAAUUAGUCUGUGAGAGCUUGGAUUAUAAACUCACUGAAUAAUGAAUUAAUUAGAUAUGCAAUAUACGGUAAUACAAAUUUAUGUGAGUGUAGUGAACUGGUCUCAUAUUCUUGUGAGGAGGCUGUGUCUUGUUCAUGUUUGGUAGGAUAAAUCAAGUAGCUGUCCAUGUAUAAGUAAUUUGUUAUGCUUAAUUUUCAUGUCUUGUUGCAGCAAGAGUAAUUAGUUGCCUAAAUUUUCCGAUCCCUUCCCUUGCAAGUGCUGUCUGCUGUUUGUUGGUGUAUUGAAUAACUGAACGUAUUAAGUUUGAUGCUGAGUUGGGGAAGCUUUCAAUUAUAUUUUGUGCAUGCAUGCUCCUGGUUUUCAUUAAUUGUUUUCUAUGAUCACAAAUCAUUGCUGCACCAAACAAAAUGCUUUAACUGAAGGUGUUUUAGUCCAUAAUAUGGAGAGUUUUAAAUAACUUGACAUAGUUAUCCAUAAUGAUCAAUAUAUAUAGACUAAGGUCUUGAUUAGAUUUCUAAGUUCUGAAUGCUAUUUUAACCCCAGUUUUGCAUUAAAAUCUAGUGUUCUUGAUCUAUUUAGAGAUGCUGCAGGCUGCCUUCCAUGCUUGAAGUCUUAAUAUGAGCCUAGGAGGGCCAUACUCUGCACUUCUUUUAGUUGCCACAAGGAAAUCAUAUUAAUGAAUUAGUGUAUCUUCUUAGGCAUGUUUUUCACCCAUUAGGUUAAUUGAAUGAAAUACUAGGAACUUCUGGCAUUAAUUAUCUUAUACACCUUAAGAAUUUGGCUCUUAUCUAGAAUUUAUGAAAAAUGCUUAAGUAUUCUUUUUUCACUGUUGGUUGAAUUUUCAACUUAAGUGUCCGUGACCAUUGCCCUAUAUUCAUGGAAAUCAUGUUAUCUAUCUUCUACAUUUGAUGAAAACUUUAAGGCUUCAUUUGAAUAGAUGUAGGAUUCAAAUGAUGAGGUAUGUAACUUUGAUCUGUUGAAAUUUUAUAUCUUCUCACUUGAAAUGCAAAUUCAAAUUCAUUUGAAAUGCACACCUAUCCAAAUAGAGCUUAAAUUUUUGAGUUUCCUGAGCUUUCAAUACAAGUACACUGGAAAUUUGGAUGAUAUGUGUGAAAUGCUUAAUUGACAUUUCAUAUCUUACUGCAGUAUUUAGUGGUAUUGUCUCUAUUAGUUGAUUAUUUGAUAUUAGUUGGUUUUUAUGAUUUAGUUUGUGCUGUUAAGAGGCCUGUCUAGUGUCUGUUUAUUGCCAUGUUUUAUCAUAUGUUAUUUCUAAUGGUCUUACUGAUUGACAGUUUUGUCCCUUCAUUUUAAUGACACAAUUAGGCAGGUCUAUAGGGUCAAAAUUCUCUUCCUAUAUUGCUUUUGGUCUAUCUACUUUGAAAUUCUAUUUUAUAGAUUAUUUGUUCUCUAAAAUUAUUUUUAAUUCGUUUUUAGCCUUAACAACGUGGAAUUAUUUCAAAAAUUGGUCUGUAGGAAAUAUGGGAAUUUUGAAAAUUAUUUUGGGACUUGGUAUUCUCCAACGUGAUUACUAAUUAAAGCAAUGGUUUAUGGAUAUGCAUGACUAUGAUUUGUUGUGUAGAGAUUUGUGUUACUAUAAUAUGUUAUAUGGAGAUUUGAGCUGUGACAAUCUGUCUCUUGCUUUUUGGUAACUACAAGUCACACAAAUUUGGGCUCUUCGAUGGCUUAUAUGGAGAUUUGAGCUGUGUCAAUCCAUCAUCCUUCCUUUUAAUUUUGCUAAGCUUGUCGCUAGAAUGGUUGCACAUGAUCCAAAUGGAUUUUUUUUUAGUAUUGCAAGCACUUUAUGCAAGGCAUUGAAACAAAUUUUCUCGAUCCAUAAACUCUUAAUGGUGAAUGGAUUUUGUGCUCUUCUUGAUUGUGAAAUAUACUUGCAGCAAUGUGUAAAUUUUGGUUUUCCUCGGCCAAUUUUACUGUGUGCCCCUUCUGGUGGAUGACUUGGUUCUUUUGUGGCAAGUUUUAGGAAAAAGGCCAAAGGCUUAAAUAAAUUCUUAAACUUUGACCCAAUAAUUAAUUGAGCUACUGACCUUUUUAAAUGGGCAAUUGGCCUUGAUAUUUUUAAAAUGGAAUUAUCAGUCUUAAACUAUUAAAAAUUAAACAUAUUGCGCCAAAAAUAGCUCGCGUGCUCACGUCACAUAACGUCUAUUUUAUCCCUGUUAUCUCAUGCUGUGUUAAUUUAGAGCAGAGAUUACAGCAAAAGGAAUGGAAGCUUUACAGAUGAUUUUGCCUAUUCUAGGAGCGUAAGUCCAUCCUCUUUCCCAUCGCUCUCUCCUGCAGUCCCCUCUCAGUCUCGGUGAAGGCCAUUCUUGCAGCAUCAAAUAUGAUUGCUCCUACACCUUCGCCAGCUUGGGUUUGGCCAUCACACCUGUAAGGCUGGAAAGAACAUCUUACAGAGGAUGAAAAGCAAUCGGGUAUCUUUCCACCAU